CUUGAACUUCCUUGACGACUUCGACCGGGUAAGGAUGAGGAAUCUCGAUAGGAACGUUGUGAGGCUGCGGGAUCGGGAUUUCUAUCUUUUGAGGAAUUUCCACUGGCACCGGAUGAGGUAUCGGGAUCGCUGGAAAGGUCGAGUGACCGUGAUCUUCGUCGUAAUGACCUCCAGAGACCACUCCAGCAAACACAGUGAAGCCCAUCAAUGCAAUCUGUAAACGUGAAAUGAUUAAUCCUGAGUUGAAUACGUUGGUACAGUAUUCGGAUGGGUUCGUUAAUUGUAUGAGCACAGGAACUGAACGUUGAAUGUCUAUGGCAAGUAGAGCACCGAGCUUAUAUAGUAACAUCGAUUCCACCACCUUUCACUGAUUCCUUGCACUAGAGUGUCG